rnacentral:misc_RNA from 1 species
GUAAGAAAAAUUGAGAUUUGAGGGAUAAGGGGGGGUAAGCCUUACCCUUAUCCUUUACUAACUCACAUCUUUCCAAACAAGGAUAUAAUAGUUACUUACUCCUCUUUACCCUUAUUUACCCUUCUCUCACUCCCACCCAAACAGAGUGUAAGGGUCAACUGCUUACAAAACACCUUCAUUUUAUCAUUCAUCAACCAAUAAUUAAUUUUGUGUUUAAAAAUCAACUAAUAUAC